rnacentral:misc_RNA from 1 species
GUCAAUGUAAUCAGCCCAAAACCUCGCUUGUGAUCGUUGAUAAGGAUCUGAAGGGAGCAGAGGAGAUCUAUCAUUCCAUACCUGGUCGAUGUACUCGACAAUGACAAGAGACUCGCAAGUGGGUUUCCCAUUAUGAAUAAGGACAGGAAUCAUCUUGUGAAUUGGGUUCAUAUCCACAAGCAGAGGGCUCUUAUCUACCAAGUUCUGUUCCCUGGCCUCAUAUUGGAUCCCUUUCUCUUCUAGGGCAAUCCUCACCCUCAUUGCAUAAGAGCUUGACCAGAAAUCCAAUAGAAUCACUUUGUCCUCCAUCUUUCUUUU